UACGUAGGGUGCGAGCGUUAAUCGGAAUUACUGGGCGUAAAGCGUGCGCAGGCGGUUCUCCAAGUCCGUUGUGAAAGCCCCGAGCUCAACCUGGGAAUGGCAGUGGAAACUAGGGGACUGGAAUCUGGCAGAGGGGGGUGGAAUGCCGCGUGUAGCAGUGAAAUGCGUAGAGAUGCGGCGGAACACCGAUGGCGAAGGCAGCCCCCUGGGCUGAGAUUGACGCUCAGGCACGAAAGCGUGGGGAGCAAACAGG
rnacentral:rRNA from 1 species